UGGAUCACCUCCUAACAGGGAGACAAUAACUGAUUUUGAUGUCUGGCUACUUUAUUGCUAGACCGAAAUCCUGUCAUCUCGAAGGUCGAUCGGUACCUCAGGGUAGGGCUUAAAAGCUUGGCUGUAAGGCUGGGUUGUUUAAGUUUCUGCCAUCAGUUCCUAAACUUUGUCUAGGUCACACCCCACGGUGAGUGUGCAGCUGAUACCAGCAAUGGGUCAACAGCACGCGAAUCAAAAGACAGACUCCUGGGCCAUUAGCUCAGGUGGUUAGAGCGCACCCCUGAUAAGGGUGAGGUCCCUGGUUCAAGUCCAGGAUGGCCCAUUCACCGCCUGCAUAGCAGGCAGGACUUGAUGUCUGGGGGUUUAGCUCAGUUGGUAGAGCGCCUGCUUUGCAAGCAGGAUGUCAGCGGUUCGAGUCCGCUAACCUCCACUGACGAACCUCCCUGAAACAGGAGGUGUCCAGGUAAGUUGUGAUCGAGACGUUAGUUUGCUAGAGAUUCUAGCUUCUUUUCAUUUUAGCAACGCCAACUAUUGGCAUUGAACUUGAAAGGACGCUGGACUCGCAUCUGAGUGAAAGCUUGGGUGAGAUGUUUAGCAGAACCUUGACAACUGCAUAGAAAAGUCUGGAAAUAAAGCAUCUCAUGGAUGCCCAGACAACAAAAGAGGCCAAGCCGCGAAAGCGACUCGGUGUAUUUUGAUGUUUGGGGAAAUUCUAUGAUUGUAAGAGCCGAGAGCUUUCAGUUUUCUUCCAAACCUGCCGAGGGCAAGGGAGUUUGAUUGGACUAUUCAAACCAGCGAGGGUCCCCACGGACAGGAGCAAGGUGAAGGUCUGAGAAUAGGUUUCAACAACCUGAAGAACUGGGAGUUAUAAAUUGGUCAAGCUACAAAGGGCUCACGGUGGAUACCUUGGCACACAGAGGCGAUGAAGG
rnacentral:tRNA from 1 species